rnacentral:rRNA from 1 species
UACGUAGGGAGCAAGCGUUGUUCGGAUUUACUGGGCGUAAAGGGCGCGUAGGCGGCGCGGUAAGUCACUUGUGAAAUCUCUGAGCUUAACUCAGAACGUCCAAGUGAUACUGCAGUGCUAGAGUGCAGAAGGGGCAAUCGGAAUUCUUGGUGUAGCGGUGAAAUGCGUAGAUAUCAAGAGGAACACCGGAGGUGAAGACGGGUUGCUGGGCUGACACUGACGCUGAGGCGCGAAAGCCAGGGGAGCAAACGGG